AGAGUUUGAUCCUGGCUCAGGACGAACGCUGGCGGCGCGGAUGAGGCAUGCAAGCCGAACGAGAAGCCGGGCUUCGGCCCGGUGGAAAGUGGCGAAAGGGUGAGUAACGCGUGGGUAAUUUGCCUUCGAGAUGGGGAUAACAGUCGGAAACGGUUGCUAAUACCAAAUACGAUUGUAGAUGCUUAGGUUUCUGCAAUGAAAGGUGGCUUAGGCUGCUGCUCGUAGAGAAGCCCGCGUCCUAUUAGCUAGUUGGUGUGGUAAUGGCGCACCAAGGCGACGAUGGGUAGCUGGUCUGAGAGGAUGGUCAGCCACAUUGGGACUGAGACACUGCCCAAACUCCUACGGGAGGCUGCAGUCGAGAAUAUUUCGCAAUGGGGGGAACCCUGACGAUGCGAUGCCGCGUGGGGGACGAAGGCUUUCGAGUCGUAAACCUCUGUGUUACGGGAUGAAUUGGCCGUUGCCGGUAAAGCAUCGGUUUUGACGUUACCGUAGUAGAAAGCCCCAGCUAACUACGUGCCAGCAGCUGCGGUAAUACGUAGGGGGCGAGCGUUGUCCGGAAUCACUGGGCGUAAAGGGCGCGCAGGCGGUGGAGUCAGUCAGACGUGAAAGGGUUCGGCUCAACCGGACGAUUGCGUUUGAUACUGCUUCGCUUGAGUCUAGCAGAGGUAAGUGGAAUGUAUGGUGUAGCGGUGGAAUGCUUAGAUAUCAUAUAGAACACCGAUGGCGAAGGCAGCUUUCUGGGCUAAGACUGACGCUCAUGCGCGAAAGUUUGGGGAGCAACCGGGAUUAGAUACCCCGCUAGUCCUUACUGUAAACGAUGGGUACUAAGUGCAGGGGGUGUUGAUUCCCUCUGUGCUGUAGCUAACGCAUUAAGUACCCCGCCUGGGGAGUACGG
rnacentral:rRNA from 1 species